rnacentral:tRNA from 1 species
UGCGGGGUGGAGCAAUUGGCAGCUCGCGAGGCCCAUAACCUCGAGGUUGGCGGUUCAAAUCCGCCCCCCGCAA